rfam:Triticum urartu cultivar G1812 contig951598, whole genome shotgun sequence.
UAUGUACUCCCUCCGUCCCAAAAUUCUUGUCUUAUAUUUGUCUAGAUACGGAUGUAUCUAACACUAAAACAUAAUACAUCCGUAUUUAGACAAAUCUAAGACAAGAAUUUUGGGACGGAGGGAGUACGAU